CUGCCUUAAACUAAUGAGCAAGGAAAAAACAAACGACUGGUAGCACUGGUCGCGCGUCUUAUGUACGCAUGAAUUUUUGCAGGGUCAUAGGCUGGCCGGGAGCUGACACUGCCUACUUCGCAGGACUCUCCUGAGCGGGCCUCCCCU
rnacentral:snRNA from 1 species